rnacentral:rRNA from 1 species
AGUCUGGCCUGCCCGGUGAAUAUUUUUAACGGCCGCGGUACUCUGACCGUGCGAAGGUAGCAUAAUCAUUUGUCUUAUAAUUGAAGUCUAGAAUGAAUGGCUUGACAAGAGUAAUGCUGUCUUUUAUCUUUCUUUAAAACUUUAUUACUAAGUUAAAAAGCUUAGAUACAAUUAAAAGACGAGAAGACCCUAUCGAGCUUUAGGAAACUAUAAAAAUUCUUAACAUUAAUGGAAACAGAACAUACUAUAAAACUUUGGUUGGGGCGACCCGAGAACAAGAAAAGCUUCUCGCUAUAAAAUCUAUUGAUAAAUCAAAGAUCCGCCUUUGGCGAUAAAAAGAAUUAGUUACCGUAGGGAUAACAGCAUUAUCUUUUUUGAGAGUUCUAAUCGAAAAAAAGGUUUGUGACCUCGAUGUUGGACCAGCAUAUCCUAAAGAUGCAGAAGUCUUUAAAGGUUGGUCUGUUCGACCAUUAAAAUGCUACGUGAUCUGAGUUUAGACCGG